rnacentral:misc_RNA from 1 species
GUCGAAGGUGGGGCUGAUGACUGGGGUGAAGUCGUAACAAGGUAGCCGUACCGGAAGGUGCGGCUGGAUCACCUCCUAACAGGGAGACAAACAACGAUUUUGAUGUCUGAGUUUUUUUUAUUCUUAGGCCAAAAUCCUGUCACCUUAGGUCGAUCGGUACCUCAACUUUGAAGCUAAGAGUAUUCAGUAAUGGAUAUCUGCUUAGUGGAAAUUUUUAGUUCCUAAACUUUGUCUAGUUCACAACCCAUUAGGGAUGAGACUCCUGGGCCAUUAGCUCAGGUGGUUAGAGCGCACCCCUGAUAAGGGUGAGGUCCCUGGUUCAAGUCCAGGAUGGCCCAUUCGGUGUAGGGGGUUUAGCUCAGUUGGUAGAGCGCCUGCUUUGCAAGCAGGAUGUCAGGAGUUCGAGUCUCCUAACCUCCACUGACUACCAAAAUCCCCAUCUCCAAAGCCUGGAGUAUGAACUCGUAUGGAUUGUGAUUUAGAUGUGUCCGCUAGAUGACCCUAGCUUCUUGUCAUUUUAAGGCAUGGAAAAGAUUCCAUGAUAUUUAAUUGAUAGGAUGCUGGGCUCGAUUCAAUGUAUUGAGAGAUCAAUUCAUUGUUUUGAUGUCUGGUCGAACCUUGACAACUGCAUAGUAAGUCUGGAAAGAAUAAAGCAUCUUUAUGGAUGCAUCAUUCUUGAGUGUUAAUUCACGACGGGGUGGUGUUAAUUCUAAAGCAAGAGCCGAGACUCCAGCAUGUUCUUUCAAAUGUGUCGAGCAUUUGAGAGUUUGAUUUUAAUUUCUAUUUUUAGAAGUUAGAAGAAUCUGUUUCAACGACAGCAAGCGUGUUGGAGAUACAUUGGUCAAGCUACAAAGGGCUCAC